rnacentral:rRNA from 1 species
AGUAACGCGUGGGAAUCUACCUAUCACUACGGAACAACUCCGGGAAACUGGAGCUAAUACCGUAUACGUCCUUUUGGAGAAAGAUUUAUCGGUGAUGGAUGAGCCCGCGUUGGAUUAGCUAGUUGGUGGGGUAAUGGCCUACCAAGGCGACGAUCCAUAGCUGGUCUGAGAGGAUGAUCAGCCACACUGGGACUGAGACACGGCCCAGACUCCUACGGGAGGCAGCAGUGGGGAAUAUUGGACAAUGGGCGCAAGCCUGAUCCAGCCAUGCCGCGUGAGUGAUGAAGGCCCUAGGGUUGUAAAGCUCUUUCAACGGUGAAGAUAAUGACGGUAACCGUAGAAGAAGCCCCGGCUAACUUCGUGCCAGCAGCCGCGGUAAUACGAAGGGGGCUAGCGUUGUUCGGAUUUACUGGGCGUAAAGCGCACGUAGGCGGAUUGUUAAGUUAGGGGUGAAAUCCCAGGGCUCAACCCUGGAACUGCCUUUAAUACUGGCAAUCUCGAGUCCGGAAGAGGUGAGUGGAAUUCCGAGUGUAGAGGUGAAAUUCGUAGAUAUUCGGAGGAACACCAGUGGCGAAGGCGGCUCACUGGUCCGGUACUGACGCUGAG